GACGCCGGGAGCCCCGCCUGCUUGCCCAACCCGGCCGGGUCUGGCCCCAAGGGGUCCCGUCGCCCGCCUUCUAUCCCCGCCUCCUGCCCUCGGGCUAGGGUGCCGCUAGCCGAGGUGCGCCCGGACGCCCUGCCACCCCAGCGCCCUCUGAGCCCGGAGCUAGCCGAGCAUCCUGAGCACCGGAGCGCCCCCUCCCUCCCUGCUGCUUUGGCUGCCCUUGGCAGUCCCAGCUCCGCCCCGCCCGGCCGCCCCAGACGGCAACGGCAGCUCAAAACCAGAUUAAAAUAAAACGUUAAUCCGCCCUUCUCCUUUUUAGCUUCUAGUUCUUCCCAAUCGACCCCCGCAGAUCUGGCACCCUAGAAGCCCCUGUAAAAUGAGGGUGGUGCUUAGCCUAUGCUCCCACCAAACCUAACC
rnacentral:lncRNA from 1 species